ACUCCUACGGGAGGCAGCAGUGGGGAAUAUUGCACAAUGGGCGCAAGCCUGAUGCAGCCAUGCCGCGUGUAUGAAGAAGGCCUUCGGGUUGUAAAGUACUUUCAGCAGUGAGGAAGGUGGAUAUGUUAAUAGCAUAUUCAUUUGACGUUAGCUGCAGAAGAAGCACCGGCUAACUCCGUGCCAGCAGCCGCGGUAAUACGGAGGGUGCGAGCGUUAAUCGGAAUUACUGGGCGUAAAGCGCAUGCAGGUGGUUUGUUAAGUCAGAUGUGAAAGCCCGGGGCUCAACCUCGGAAUUGCAUUUGAAACUGGCAAACUAGAGUACUGUAGAGGGGGGUAGAAUUUCAGGUGUAGCGGUGAAAUGCGUAGAGAUCUGAAGGAUACCAGUGGCGAAGGCGGCCCCCUGGACAAGACUGACGCUCAGAUGCGAAAGCGUGGGGAGCAAACAGGAUUAGAUACCCUGGUAGCUACGAG
rnacentral:rRNA from 1 species